rnacentral:lncRNA from 1 species
UGCUCCAGAACAGAGUGAAGAGGCUCAGCCACCGUUGUCACGGUCCAGCAGCUAUGGAUUCAGCUAUAGCUCCAGCCUCAUUCAAUGACACACAGAGGCCACCAAUGACCAGCAAGACAGUCUACCCUGGACCUGCCAUGGGGUCAUUUCGCCCUAUGCUUCCUGGAAGACCAAUUGCAGUACAAUUUAACAUUGGUAGGGCAUAGCCCCAACUAGAAGGUUAAAAACUGGAGUUCUGCUUCCUUGAUUCAGUGGUUAAGUCCUUUAUUUAUUGAAUUUCUAUGGGGGAAAAAUCUAUGUUUUACAAAAAAUAGAAUCCAAUAAUAUGAACACUCAUCUAAAUAAGAAAAAUUCUUUGUGUCUGACAUUAGCAGAAGUUUUGGUACUGGGAAAUUUUCCACUCCAGUUUGAGCCUGGGUGGCACUGACAUUUGUCCUUAAGGUUAGGUGCUUUUGUUUGAACAUAGGGCCUGACUUUAAACAUAUGAUGACC